CAUGCGCCCUGCUGCCCACGCGUCCUGUGAGCAGAGCCGAGGAAGAAGCAGUGGUGUGGACGGUGUCGUGAUCUUUCUGGCUGCCUGCCCUCAACCGGGUGAAGUAUGAGUGGAUGUGUAAGAUCAAGAUCUAAGUCUAAACAAAGAAAAGGUGAUCGAGAGUAUAACCAGCCAGCUGCACCUAUGGCUGGCCAGCAGCCCAGUGAUAAGCAACCUCAACAAAAGGAGACACCAACUGGAAGUCAGAAUAUUAUACCUGAUCAAAAGAAAGAAGUUAAAGAAGCACCUGUGGAUCAAGGUGAAGGGCAAUCCGGUUUUAAACAAAGACAAGCUGAAACUCUGCAAAAUGUUCUUAUGUUAGCUACUUGACUAUUAAGAUUCUCUUAA